rnacentral:pre_miRNA from 1 species
UCUCAUGGAUGAGCAAAAGUGACUUCUUGAGAUGGAAUCUACUGCUGGUGAAGAUGCUGUGAA